rnacentral:piRNA from 1 species
UCCNCUUUGAUAUGUUAGUGGAUAACUCAG